UUCUGUUGCAUUGCCAUUGCCACUCUCCUCCUCUUCCACUUUACACGCCUCUCUCUCUCCCUCUCUCUCUCUCUCUCUCUCUGGCUCUCUGGCUCUCUGCAAUUCCCCAUUCCACCAUUCCUGCCACCGCCCCAAAUCCCCUUCGAAUCGGACGGAGCAAGCGGCGGGGAACCCUCUGAUUCGGCUGUCUCCGCGCGCGCUGAUCGAGGGGGACAACUAUUGAUCAGUACAAAAUGCCUGUAAGCUUUAAAUAUUGGGAUGACUGCUUGGAUCCAGAUGAUCUGCGAUUAAUGUGGGCCGAUCCUCAAGUAAGUAAAGAGUGGAUUGACGCUGGAGAGGAGCAGGGACAGAAAGUUCACCUGUCACGGGAUCCUGAUGGCGAGGCAUAUCUGACACAAACUGAAAUGAUGGCAGUGGCUGCAAUCACUGUACACAGACAUUUCAAAUCACAGCUAGACCCGCAUAUGAUAGGUGCCCUUGCGGAAAUUGCAAGUGGAAGGAGACUCUUUGUGGAUAACUAUGAUCACAAGACUAAGGAGACCAAGAUGGGCAUGAUGCAGGUAACACCUGAAGUUGCUCAAUGGCUUGGCAGGGAAUUAGGUUACAAGAAUUAUGACAUUGAACUUGAAGAAAAUAAUAAUUUGCUCUACUGGCCUUUUGUAAAUGUCUACUUUGGUGCAGCUUACGCAAAAUGGCUCUUCUCAUGUGAUGAGAAAGAAAGAACUGAAGAAUUUGUUGUUAGAGCUUACAAGGGAGGCAAAAAGAAGGCUACUCACAAAUCAUCUGCUCCCAUUUUCCAGCGUUAUCUUUAUGUGAAAGAGACAUUGUUGUCUAUGAGACAACCUGAAAGUUUCAAUGUGUUGACUCUUGAUCUCCUAGAAAAUUCCUCAAGUGCAGGAGCACAGCUCAUAUGUUGGGAUUCCAAAGUAUCAGAGGAAGAUAUGGAUGCAAUGUGGAGUCAGCCUGAUGUGGUGAACGAGUGGACAAAAUCUGGCGAGAGGCGUGGAAAUGUCCGCUUUUCCCAUGAUGCCAAGAAGAGGCCUUAUCUUUCCCGGGUUGAGGUGAAGGCUGUUGCUGGAAUAAUCAUAUGGCGCCAUUUGAGCUCAAGAGGAGUAACGCCAGAAGCUCUAGCUGCUCUUGCAGAGGUGUGCAGUAUGCGCUUUGUCCAUGGAGUACGUUCGCGGACAGGAUUGAUGGGAAUAGAUUACCCUACUGCUGCAUGGCUUUACAAAGAUUGUUCGUAUAAGGCGUACACAGUCAACUCUGUGGAUGAUCUCUACAAUCCUUUUGCCUCGAUGUAUUUUGGAGCAGCUUACUUGGGAUGGUUGUCGCAAUAUGAAGGAAGGGAGAGGAGUCAUGAAUUCAUUGUUCAAGCUUAUCUUGGGGGACCGGACAAAGUAAACCUUCAGGAGACUGGGCCGUAUUGGAAGAAAUUUCUGGAUGCUUUAAAACACUAUGAAGAUCCGAAGAAGGACCAAACGGGCUGUUGUAUUUUGUAAAGUUGUCUGAUGUGUUCAUAUGAUUGUGUUUGCUGAAGAAAGGCUCAUAUCACUGUACCCAGGCAUAUAACUGUUAUAUCUUCUGGUUCCGUGCAAUGCAGACCCCAAGCGGUAACUAGCAGGCCUCCUAUCAAAUGAUCUUUAAUUUUAGAGUUCCUCUCCAAGGGUUCGACAUUAACAAUCGACACAGCUGCAUGGAUUUGACCAUUUGUACCCUGGUCAUGUGAAAAUUAUGACUGAUGGCGUCAGCGCUCAUAGAGCUACGGCCAUGGCCAUUUUUCCUUCCAGACAAUCUAAGAAUGGCCCUUGCUACAUCAUUCUUGUGUGUUUUGUAUGUUGUAAAGUACAUUUGUUGCUGUACAGGAAAAUGUUUUCUCCCUAGGAUACGUUCUGGCCAUCUUUGUACUAGAAGAAAUUGUUUUACAACAUAAGUUUUCUUGUACUUUCUCCGUCCACAAAAGAUGUCUCAAGUUUGUCAAAAUUUGAAUGCAUCUAGACAUGACUUAGUGUACAGAUGCAUUUAAAUUUAGUCGAAGUUGAGACAUCUUUGUUGGACGGCGGAAGUAUAGAAUUUCUGAUUUUCAAGAAUACUUACCGUCAUGGAUAUUUGAUAACCAUUCUUUGAGAAUGGAGGAUUCAUUUCUCA